UUAUAAUUGAGCUGCAAAUCAUCUUUGAGGUUUCAGUAAAAGAACUUAAUUCCUUGGUAGAAAAAAAGAACUAAAGAACACCUUUUGAAUGAUCUAUAUGAUAACAAUUGGAUAAUUUCCAAUUGGAGCAUCUCUUGUGGGAUGAUCAAAGAGAACCUCAGUGCAGUAUUUCCAGCCUUGUUCAAAUGGAGAUGGUGUUAAUGCACAAUGCAAUGAAUUCCAUAUUCUUAAUUCUGAAAUGCGAUUAUAGUUUUGUGGGCGUAGGUUCCAGCUGCACUCUGGUUCACUGGAUGACUGAAUAACAUUUCACACAGCAAGAUUGGUCUCUAUGGCGGUACAUAUGGUGUUAAAGCUGGAGCUUUUUAUAGCAAUAGCAGGAAUACUAGUGAAUGAUUUGAAUGAAUAUCUUAUUGACUGCAGCAAUUAUGCUUAUUUAAGGAUAGAAGUAUUUUAUGUUCCUAGGAAUAGGAUCUCGUCACUAUGGCUUUAAAUCGUGCUUGCGGUUGCAUUCAUGGGUAACGGUAACGGGCUUGUAAUUGGCAUAAUGUAACGGUAAUGGUCUAGCGCUACGCAAAUUUUUCAAGUUUAUGAAAUGAGUAGAUAAUGGUAAAUACAAGUAAAAUUAAGAUACACA
rnacentral:misc_RNA from 1 species